UUCUAUUUUUGUGUUUUUGUUUUUAACUUAUGAUUAAUUUCAUGCAUACAGAUCCCUCUAAAUAUAGUAAAUGAUAAGUAUAUUCCUACAAAGUUCAAUUUUUAUAUGUUGUUCCUAGAAAAGUUCUAAUGUUUUCAAAUAUGUCUCUCUAUUUUGUUACCGUUAGAGAACCGUUUAUAUAUAUUUUCAAUUUUGCCAUCACAAUUAUAUCUCACCAAAAAUCAUAACAGUAUAAUAUAAGAGGGGUUAAAAGUUAAAAAUUAACCAAGGGUAAGUAUUUAAUUUAUGAUUACCUAAAAUUUUCUAAUGGAUACUAACGACGUGGAUAUAUUUGAAAACAUCCGCACUUUUGUAGGAAUAACAUAUGAAAGUUAAACUUUGUAGGGAUAUGUUUGCCAUUUAUUAUAUUUGCAGGGACCUGUAUGAAAUUAAUCUUUUAAUUUAUUAGUAACUUGCAUAUCCUAUACAAUUAAACCCUAGAAAUCCCUUUGCACUAUUAUACUGGGAGUAAAUUUUACAUCCCAUCUAUAUAAAGAUUACUAUCUUACUACUUGUCUUUAGCAAUCUUUUUUUUUUUUUUUUGGAAAAACUUCAAAUAUUACUCAUGUGGUUGCGCGCUCUCUCACUUUAGUACUCUGUGAUUUAAAAUGUAUCACUUUCAUACCCUACGAUUUUAUUUUUCUCUUUUUGCUAUUUUUUUCGUUAAUUUUUUCGUUAAAUCAAUAAUAAAGUUAAAAUCAUAAGAUGCUAAAUAAAAAUUCGUCAAAUCACAGAGUACUAAAGUGAAUAUUUGAUAAACCAUAGGUGAGUUAUUUGAAGUUUUAUAUUUAUAAUUUAACAAAGAAUUAACGGAAGCACAGGCGAAAAGGAAAAAAUAAACCCACAUGCAUGGUACUAAAAGUGAUACACUUUAAACCAUAAGAUACUAAAGUGAGAAAACGCAAAAUCACAGGGAUAGUAUUUAAAGCUUACUGCUACUUCAAUUUGCCUUUUUGUGAUUUA
rnacentral:lncRNA from 1 species